GGUCAUCCUGACCAUUCUGCUGUUCUGGAUGUAAGGCCGUGCUGGAACUACAUUUCUCGUGGUUGAAAGAUUUGUGCAGCGAUUUGAGGGAAAGAUUAAAAACAAGGAGGUCUGGGAAUGACUGAAGGGAUCUGACAGCAGUGAGGGAAGGAAGUUAUCACCAGAAUCUCAGAGGAUGUUGACAGUGCAGGUCCAGGAUGAAGAGGAGGAGGAAGAACACGUUUAACAAUUUUCUCAUAAGCUUGCCAUGUGUUAUAAUAAAAACAAUGAACAUGGCUACAAUAAUAUGCUAAAUGUUAUUAAAAGAUUCCAGUUUGCAAGAAGUCUGAGUGUCUGACUCUACACUAGAGGAACUCUUUUCUG